GGGGGACGCCGCUGCCCAAGCUCUGGGAAAUUUGCUGCAAUGUUUUGGGGCGUUUGCAGGCACCAUUUUUUGGUCGGACAUAUUUUUUCGCCAUGUUCUCCUCGCUCUGUGAUGUAGGCAAGAUGCUGGGACAAGGAGGCUUUGGGUCUGUCUAUGAAGGGACACGGAAACAAGAUGGAAAAAAUGUGGUUCAUCCCUAAGGCUCAUGAUGAUGAAUACUUAACAUUAGUAAGUCACAGUCAAUGCUGGUCAGUCUAUUGUCGGGAUAGAUUGGAAUCGGGCUAUGAGUGUUAGUCUACCUAGCAAUAGCAAGCACAUUCAAACCAAUGCUGUGUGCUAAUCAACUUAUAUUAAGCCUAGAACAUUUUGCAUGUGUGUUGACCCACCUGCCUUGGCCUGGAACACCAUGACUCUGUGUUAACCAACCUCCCCACUUUAGCCCCUGGAGGUGGCCCUCCAUUUGCUAGUGU